GAAACGGGGAAAGAAGCAGAGAGGCGAUGAAAUAGAGUAUGAGGCCUGUGACACGGAGAAAGAAACAGAGAAAGGCGAAGAACUCUGCAUCGAUUCUGCAACUUUUAUGGUUUAAUCCAACCAAAAUCCCGAUCAUUACAACAUUUGAAAGCCCGAUUUACAGAGAGAGUGCUCCGUUCCCUCGCCAAACUUAGAGCAUCGCUGCAAGCAGAAAGAAAAAACUAUGGGCGUCAACCCCGUUACGCUAUAUAUCUGCCACCAUCAGAUCGUCGGAACCGGUUCCGGUACCAGCAGUUGGUAUUCCAGCACCAAAAAGGGCUCAACCUCUUGGUACCAUCUCUGCUGCUUCUUGGGGUUCUGCACUUAUUUUGCCAAUUUCAUAUACAUACAUAGCCAUGAUGGGUUCUAAGGGACUCACUAAAGCCUCAAAGAUAGCAACCUUGAAUGCAAACUACAUGGCAAAACGUUUUGAGAGCCACUACCCCAUUCUUUUUCGAGGAGUCAAUGGAACAGUCGCCCAUGAAUUCAUCAUUGACUUGAGGGCUUUCA